rnacentral:rRNA from 1 species
UUGAACGCUGGCGGCAUGCUUUACACAUGCAAGUCGAACGGCAGCGCGGGCUUCGGCCUGGCGGCGAGUGGCGAACGGGUGAGUAAUGCAUCGGAACGUGCCCAGUAGUGGGGGAUAGCCCGGCGAAAGCCGGAUUAAUACCGCAUACGACCUGAGGGUGAAAGCGGGGGACCGAAAGGCCUCGCGCUAUUGGAGCGGCCGAUGUCGGAUUAGCUAGUUGGUGGGGUAAAGGCUUACCAAGGCGACGAUCCGUAGCUGGUCUGAGAGGACGACCAGCCACACUGGGACUGAGACACGGCCCAGACUCCUACGGGAGGCAGCAGUGGGGAAUUUUGGACAAUGGGGGCAACCCUGAUCCAGCCAUGCCGCGUGCGGGAAGGAGGCCUUCGGGUUGUAAACCGCUUUUGUUCGGGAAGAAAUCCUCUGGGCUAAUACCCCGGGGGGAUGACGGUACCGGAAGAAUAAGCACCGGCUAACUACGUG